rnacentral:tRNA from 1 species
GGUGGUGGAACUCAAUGGUAGAGCACUUGCCUAGCAUGUGUGAGGCCCUGGGUUCCAUCUCCAGCACCACAA